UACGUAGGGCGCAAGCGUUGUCCGGAAUUAUUGGGCGUAAAGAGCUCGUAGGCGGCCUGUUACGUCUGCUGUGAAAUCCCGGGGCUUAACCCCGGGCGUGCAGUGGAUACGGGCAGGCUGGAGGCAGGCAGGGGAGAACGGAAUUCCCGGUGUAGCGGUGAAAUGCGCAGAUAUCGGGAGGAACACCGGUGGCGAAGGCGGUUCUCUGGGCCUGUACUGACACUGAGAGACGAAAGCUAGGGGAGCGAAUGGG
rnacentral:rRNA from 1 species